GGUCCAGUAGCUCAGUGGAUAGAGCGGCCGCCUCCUAAGCGGCAGGUCGAUGGUUCGAUUCCAUUCUGGAUCA
rnacentral:tRNA from 2 species